UACUGGUAAUACAGUAACUAUACGCAAGAGGAACCAGCUUUUGCCAUGGCCUGUUUUGAAAGAGUUACUUCACGGAUUUCCCCACUCCCUAAGACUGCAGAACUACCCAGCCCUGAAGCAGCCCCAGCUCACAUAUAACCCAGAAUUUAAGGAGAAGUGUACUUUUCUCUCUGCAGCAGAUGGGAUAGAAAGUAAACCAACUGGUGCAAAUCAUACAGAGCUUUGAAGACCAUGCCCUUCCAGGCUCUUAAUUCCUAGGACUUGGACUCCCGUGGUCUCUGAAACACCCCAUCAAGCAUUUCAUGCAAAAAGAGAGUAAAAACUUCAGCGCCAGUAUUUUCAGUAUCUGGAGGUCCUUGAAAGAGUAGUCAGGUCAACCCUUUCUCUAAUAGGAUUUUUUCCUGGCAGUUCAUUCCUGGGGGACCCUGUUUGCGUUUCUGCAAUAAGAACGACAACAGCCGGGUGAAUCUGCUAGCCCAGACGCCUGGAACCAUGUACCUUGUCUACAGCCUCUCUGGCACCAUGUAUCUUGUCUACGGCCUCUCUGGCACAGCAGAAGUGCUCAGCGCUCUCCCGCUCAAGAUGCUGCCUGUGCUGGACCACUUCCUGCUCUCCCAAGCUAUAUUCGUUCAAGCUACCUAACUACACAGACGAAGCCUUCGUGUUGCCUUUCAAGGAAUAGGGUGUUGUUUUUGUGACAAUGAAGCACUUCUGGCUUUGCUAGGUUCUCGUCACCCAUUCUGCCUCACAUUUCUGUUGAGAAAGCCCAGCUCUGAAGAGUAACAUGUUCAUUCCUGCCCAGCCAUGACCACCUUGCUCUGGAUCAGCACAUUCACUUGUCGAUGCUCCUUCCCACAUUCGGUGGUGCCUUCUGCUCUCGCUUUGAAGUGUUCUUGCAGAACCGCCCGACCCUGGAGCUCUUAAGGACCAGCAUGUUUCUGCUGCAAGGAUCCCAGUUCUGGCAGUUAACAGAAAGAAACAGCUAUAUCGAGAGAACAAUUCUUGCUAGAAGAGGAAUCUGAGAGGUCAGAUGAAUGGCCCUCCAGAGGCAGCACUGGCUGCAGAAGCAGCCUAGGAUUGGGUUUGUUCUGUACCCACCCUGGGGUGGGCCAGGCUGGGACCAGUCUGAUCAUGGAAAUACCAUGUCCAUUACCAUCUGCUUCUGCUGGCGUUAUAUGGUUAUUCUGCUCCUUGUUACCCUCAGCUAUCCCAUCACUUGCUGGUACGUAGCAGGGCUGAACAGUGGGAGGCAGGGUGGGAGAACUGGUAAUCCAUGGUUUGCAAAAAUGACCCCACGUUUCAGUACAUGUCCACAAAACCCCCAUUAAAUGACCAUACUGAGCUGGAAAUCAAAAGCAUCGAGCAAGGCAUCAGCUAUAGCGACAUCAAACGCAAUGGCAGGUCAGUAACUCAGCACAGUUGGGCAUACGAGAUAAACAGAGAUGACAAAUCCCAGUGCCCACCGGCUGCCCAGCCCUCACAAUUUAUUGCAUAGUUGUGCAAGCAGGUGAACCAGCCCCCAAGGAGCAACUCAAAACGCACGCUGAACAGCAAAGCGUAGAAGUAUGUCUCUUUUCUGAAGUUAUUAAAGACUAGAGCAGUGGACAGUGUCUGCUGGUGCCAAAAUGCAAAUUCACACAGCUAUACCUGGAUGCAAAUAACCAAUGGAGGGAGUGAAAUACUAGGCUAUGCUUGAAGGGGCCAAGGUAGCACAGAGGAUCCACUUUGAUUUACAACGUAUCUACCCACAUAGCCAUGAUUCAAGUAACAGUUUCAGACUGACACAAUUUGGUUACUAACCAGCAACAGGUUAUAUUAACUAUACCUAUGUCAAUAUGAUUCUGUUGCAGUUGCAUUAAAAUAUGGAAGAAGUGUAUCAGACCCCAAGAUACUGAGAGACUGAAGUUUGUUAGAAGUUCUCACACUCCACUCUUAAGAGCAACAGGCCAGGAAGGAGAUAGCUCCAAGCAGCCCUUUCUUCCCUCCCAGAAUCCAGAUGGAUUAUUAAGAAAGGAUUUUCUGCUGACUGGAACAGUAGGUGGAGCUUUAGAGAUUAGAUCAGAUUCUCACUUCACAUAAUUCCUAGGCAAUUUUAAGAAUAAUUUUUAACUCUCCUUUCAUUAUCAAACUUACGCUUUUUUACUUCCUGAUGCCAUCCAGCUCUCCAACUUCAAACUGCAAGAUCCCCAGAGCCUACACAGUUUCUAAUGAAUACAGCAGAGCAGAAAUUCAGAUCUCGAUCAGAAUUUCAAGAUGCUAAGCACCUAAUUCCUUUUAAACACUUUAAAGUUACGGGGGAAAAGAGGUACGCCGCAGCUGUGAUUAUUUACAAAUAAGCCAGGCAGAAGAACAGCAUUAAAGCCACAAGAUAGGUAAGUUUACAGGCAUACAAGCCCUUCUUUCCAAAUUACUAUUCUAUUCUUGCUCUCCACUCUCCUACAUUAGAAUAACUACAGUAUUAAAAUAGCUAUCUAGGUAGACUCCCUGUUUUCACCUCGCACCCAACAGCACAUUCUCCUUUCCCCAUAGCUCUGCCCACUCUGAUUUGCCAGGUCUGUAACAAGUCACCGAGGAAGAGGUCAGAGGACAGAGGAGCAAACAGCACCUAGGUUAACAAACAAACACAGCCUAGGUUAAGUACGUCCCCAUCCAGUCCCAGCACACUCAUACACCAACAGACUAACUGGAGUCCUUCUCUGCCCUUCAGCCUAUCAUGCAGAAGUUAGAAGUUACUUAUUAAAAACUAGGGCUUUAACUUGCAAUAGUUUAAGAGUUAUUUUUCAACCAGAGCGGAAGCAAUUCAUCAGAUGGGUAGCAGCUGAACCAUAGAACAGGCUGUACUUUGUUCUUGAAAGCUGGUAGUAAACAUAGACUGUUUAACCCAGCACGUAGGUCUUUCAAAUACGAAGCUCACAUAGUGACUGAUGCUCUUUCCUCAAAGAUCAGACUUAAAAGCAGAGAGAACAGGCUUCAGCAAAGCAGUGAUGAAUGUAAAGGUAGCUCAUGUUAGCAACCGGUUUAGCAAAGACAGUGAUGGAAGAAGGGAGAUGAUGACCCUGAAGAGCAAGACUUCUAAGAACUCUGCAGCAACAAGAAUCUCAUGGCAAUACUAAACUAUGUGAUUAGAUAUGGGCUUCCUGGUUUUUUUAAACCUAGCACAGGCAAAGUCUCCUGUGUCACAUUCAUGUAGUUAGUUGCAAAAGGAUUUGCACAAAUUUAAAGUGUUUCACACUAACAUCUUGCAGCACUUGAUUUUAGGUUUUGAAACUGAAGAAUUGUAUUAAUAAUGAAGAGAAUUAGCAUACCAGGAUUCUGAAUUUGUUUUGAAUUUAGCGGUUCCUUUUCACAUGAGCAGCACAAGGAAAUGCUUAGUUGUUUCUUCCAUUUCUUGUUUUAAUUUUACAACUGGCUCUGGU